GGUUCAAUGCCUACUGUAUCGGAAUGCAUCGGAUGGAUGCCCGGGCAUUGGGAGGGAAGGACGCUUCCAAAGGCGAAAGGCCAUGGGGAGAUACCGUCCGUGAUCCAUGGAUCUCCGAUCGGGAAACCGUGUCCCACUCCCUACCUCUAUAGUGGGGGGUGGGGGCGAAGCGACUUAGCGAACUGAAACAUCUAAGUAGCUAGAGGAAAGGAAAUCAACCGAGACCCCGUUAGUAGCGGCGAGCGAAAGCGGAUUGGGCAAAUAUCCAUCAGCGGAGCCCUGCCCCCCGCUGCUGGCAAAUCAAUAGGGCGCCAUACCUUCGGUAGGGAAUAGAUGGCCCUGCAUGCAUGCAGGGUGGUGCGUGCCAGCAGGGGGCCCCUACAAUUCUAUGGUAGCUAUAGAAUCCGGGAGCUGGGCCCUUUUCAAUAGCCGGGGGCCUGCCUGCCUGCAGAGGUAGGGUUCAUCGGUGGGGCUCUUCUUCUCUGUGCAAUUCAUUCAACUAAUCUUCAUGCCCUACCCCUAGCCUAUAAUUUUAUGGUAUGGCCCAUACCUAACCAUACCUCUUUAUUAUAGGGCUAGGGCUAGGGCUAGGGCAAUCAAUCAUAUUUUAGGGGAGGGGCCCCUCUUCAUAUUAUUGAGGGGCCUAUCAUUUUAUGGGCCCCCUAAACAGAUUAUUGUAAGGGCCUAUCAUUUUUUAGGCAGGCUCGUCUGAAUGCCCAGGCCUAUAGAUAGUAAGGGCCUUACCUUCAUUAUCAUGAAGUGGGCCUAUCAUUUUUUAGGCUCGUCUUCAUUGAAUGCCCCCCUACUCCCUACCCCUACCCCUACCCCUACUAUUAUAAGGUAAGGGUAAGGUAAGGGGAAGGGGUAGGCAUGCAAGAUGAGGCCCUAACUAUCUAUAGGCCUGGUUGCCCCGUAGGCAUGAAUUGAACCCAGGGUGGAUGAUGGAAGAACCGGGGGGAACUGUGAAAAGGUUGGAAGAUCUGGCCAAAGAAGGUGAUAGCCCUGUAGAUUGGUUCCCCACCCCCUGGCAGGGGUGGCCCCUACUAUUCUCUAGGCAUGAGGAGAGGGGAUAGUUUUCAUGGAUAGGGCGCCCCGGGCCCCCUGCAUGCAGGGGGCCCUGCAUACCGAUGAACCCUACUAUCUAGCCGGGUUCGAUUCUUCCCAGUUGAGUAAAACGCGGAGUGUUUGAAUCAGGGGGACCACCCUCUAAGCCCAAGUAUUCCUCAAUGACCGAUAGCGUACAAGUACCGUGAGGGAAAGGUGAAAAGAACCCUAGGAAAGGGAGUGCAACAGACCUGGAAUCCGAUGCGCGUAAACAAUCAGUCGGUCGCGGCGUAGCAUCACUUGAACGGCUAAUGAUAGUCAGUCCCAACGCCCCCAUGAACACCCCCGCUAUAGAGGAUAGGGCCCAUAGGGGUAGGGGCCCGUGCCUAUCAUUUUAUGGGCAGGGUCCCCCUGCACCUGCAGGGUCCCCGGUGGGCGGGUGGGCGUUGGGGGGUCAGUGUAGCGCUGAACGGCGUACCUUUUGCAUAAUGGGUCAGCGAGUAAAUGGGAACAGCGGCUUAAGCCAUUAGGUGUAGGCGCGACAAAUAAAAGACAAAAAAGGGCCCAAUUCUAUGGCCCUAAAAUUCUCCCGGGGGCCCCGCAAUAAUCUGCCCAUUUUUGUCUAGGCGGGCGCAAUAAAAUAAUAGGCCCGGGGGUAGGGCUAUCUCCAUAGAACCAUAAAAUAGUAGGGGGGGCCACCCGCCCUCAUGCUGCCCGCCCGCCAGUGCAGAUGGGUGCCCACUGGGCAUCGAUUAUUGGGCCCUUAGGGGGCCUUUACCUCCCUCUAUAUAGUAGGGGCCCCUUUCAUAUUAUUGCCCCUUCGCCUAUUAUUGUAGGGGCUAUAGAACCAACUCUAGUUGGGGUUUGUAGAGGGGUGGGGGGCGGCCGGUAGAAUCUCCCAGUUGUUCCUAUUUGACCCGAAACCGAUCGAUCUAGCCAUGAGCAGGUUGAAGAGAGCUCCAACAGGCCUUGGAGGACCGAACCCACGUAUGUGGCAAAAUACGGGGAUGACUUGUGGCUAGGGGUGAAAGGCCAACCAAGAUCGGAUAUAGCUGGUUUUCCGCGAAAUCCAUUUCAGUAGAGCGUGCAUGCUUAUGGCCCGAGGUAGAGCACUCAAUGGGCUAGGGUGGCCCAAAGCUUGACCAACCCCAAGGAAACUCCGAGUACAGGCCAUUUCAGUAAGCAGACAGACUUUGGGUGCUAAGAUCCAGAGUCGAGAGGGAAACAGCCCAGAUCGUACGCUAAGGUCCCUAAGCAGUCACUUAGUGGAAAAGGAAGUAAUCGAGCGAUGACAACCAGGAGGUGGGCUUGGAAGCAGCCAUCCUUCGAAGAAAGCGUAAUAGCUCACUGGUCUAGCUCCAUAGCACCGAAAAUGUAUCGGGGCUCAAGUGAUUCACCGAAGCGACGAGAUCCGUUCGCUUUAGAAUAGUAGGGCGGGUCAGUAGCGGGACGUUCU
rnacentral:rRNA from 1 species